rnacentral:lncRNA from 1 species
CUGGUUUCUAAAUAUUCCAGAGGAUCUACUCAAUGCUCUGGGUAUACCAUUGACCUCUGUGAGCUGAUACUGAAACUAGAACUAAACAUACCUGCUCAGGAAUUUCCUGCCAGGCCAAGAGGCAGCAAACUCGGCAGACAGCUGAUGAUUCUUGCUAAAAAUAACUUAAUGAAGAUACCAAAAAUUUCAUUUUUGCAACUGUCAAGAAAUUGUGGAGGAAGCAUAGAGAUGUCCUUGGGAUGUAUACAGAGCAGGAAACUAUAUUCCAUGAUCAUAUUGUUUGUUUUAUGCCUAACUACUUGACCAUGGGGACACAGGCCUUGGAGAAUUCUGACAAAGUUUGUUGUCAUGAGCUACAAACACAAUAAUUGGAGGAAAUUUCCUCUUCUGCAACUUAGAAUAUAAUUUCAUCGAAAUGAUUAACAUGUAGAUCUUUAUGUCUUAAAAAAAUUACCUCUGCAAAGAG